AUAUGCACAAAGAUUUAUUCAUACAAAUGUUCAGUACAUCAAUUACAAAAGCAAAAACUUUAAUAACUGAAUCCUAUAUAUGAAUUAUGGUCUUAUGCAGCCAAAAGAACAUUUUGUAGAAGACGUUACUGAAAUUUUUAAAAUGUUUACAAUACGUUUGACAAAGGGCAGUUACAAAAAUUAUGGCCACCAUAAUUUUAUUUUUUUAAAACACACACCCACACAAAGUUGUUUUAAAAAUGUAUCUAAAAGGCAACAAUUAUUAUCUCACAGUAGUUGGAUCAUGAGUGCCUUCUUAUUUUCUUAGUUGGGAUUAUCCAUAUUUUCCAGAUUGCUUACAAGAAACCUAAAUUAUUUUUGGAAGCAGAAAAAGCCAAUGCUAUUUUUAAUAUGCUCAUCAUAGAGAAUUUGGAAAAUACGAAAUAUUAUAUAGAAGAAAAUAAAAAUAAUCACAAUUCUACCACUUAGAACUAACCAUUAUUAACAAUUUGUUGUAUUUCUUUCAGUCUUUUAUAUGAAUUUGUGCAAAAUCUUUGCCACUACCCCCUCCUACUCAACUGAGGAUCAUGCCGUAUGUAAUGUUUUCUAUUCUGCUUUUGUUUUUAUUUAACAUUAUAUCAUGAACAACUCCCUAAGUCUUGAGCACUUUUUUUUUUUAAGUCUUGAGCACUCUUUAAAACAAAAUUAAGAAUCAAACAAGCUAGUGAGGAAGAUGUGCAGGAAUUGAUUUACAAAGAUUCUUUAUGAAGUGGACAAAAAAGUAAGCUGCAAAGCAGUAUUAUGAGAUGGUCAAAUAAAAUAGUCACCAAGCCUUUAUUUUUGGUCAUAAGAGGAGGAAUUGUGUGGAAAUGCUUGGUGAUUGAAAAUUUUUAAAUAACAUGUAUAUCAUUAUUGUCUCUGUAAUCAGAAAAGUAAUAUAGCUUUUAAAAUAAAUAUAAACCCCAUUUUAAAGGGCCGUAGAAUAGUCUACCACACCAUAAACCUCUCCUAUUGUGGGACAUUUAGAUUUGUUUCAACUCUUUCUGUUACUAUAAAUAAUGAUAAUGCUAGAAUGAAUGUCUUUGUUUUCAAGUCUUUUUCUGAGCUCAUUACAUUCUAUGAUAAAUUUGAAGGAGGAUUGCUAGAUCAGUUUGUGUGGACUAAUCUUAAAAGAUUUUGCUUGAAAUGUAUGCUUGCAUAUGAAUGUUUGCUUAUAUAUUAAAAGCAAUAGAUUUAACUUUCUAUUUCUUAAUAGAAAUCAGUAGGACCCCUUAGUUUAUGGCUUUUAAUCUACUCAAGAGAAUUUCUCUUGGGAAAAAAAUGCAUUCUCUUUGAGAAUAUAUUCCAGAAUCUUAUUCAAAAACAAUUUUCCAAGCCCAGUAGAAACUUUGAAACCUGCCCUAAUACUCCACAAUAGAGAACUGGAGGCAGUAGGUCAAUGUUCCUGAUUCACUAGGCUAAUGAGACUCAGGCCAAUUCACUGGUGAUAUUCUAAUUCAGAAUUGAGAAGAGAGACUGUGGAUAAUAAAAAUAAAUAAAAAUUGAAAAGUCAUCAAUCCUUGGUUUUAUCCCCUCUCCCAUUAAAAAACAAACAAAAUGUUGCUCUUUUUAAAAAAGUGAGUUUUACUGAAAUAUAAUUAAUAUACUAUAUGUUAUUCCUUCAAAAUAUAUGAUUUGGGAGUUCCUUAGAGGCUCAGCAGGUUGAGGAUCUGGUUUGUCACUGCUGUGGCUCAGGUUCCACCCCUGGCCCAGGAACUUCUGCAUGAAGACAAAAAAAAAAAAANAAAAAAAAAGAGAGAGAGAGAGAGGAUGGAGGGAAAUAUUCCAUGCAAAUGGGAGUCAAAAGAAAGCUGGAGUAGCAAUACUCAUAUCAGACAAAAUAGACCUUAAAAUAAAGAAUAUUAUAAGAAAUAAAGAAGGAUAUUACAAAAUGAUCAAAGGAUCAAUCCCAGAAGAUAUAACAAUUGUAAAUAUAUAAAUGCACCCAACAUAGGAUCAAUUCAAUAUAUAAGGAAAUUGCUAACAACCUUAAAAGGAGAAAUUGACAAUAACACAAUAAUUGAGGGGGCUUUAAUACCCCACUUACAGCAAUGAACAGAUCAUCCAGAUAGAAAAGCAACAAGGAAACACAGGCCCUAAAUGACUUGUUAGACCAGAUGGACUUAAUAGAUAUUUAUAGAACAUUCCAUCCAAAAGCAGCAAAAUACACAUUCUUCUCAAGUUCACAAGAAACAUUCUCUAGGACUGGUCACUUUCUGGGCCACAAAUCAAGCCUUGGUAAAUUUAAGAAAACUGAAAUCAUAUCAAGCAUCUUUUCUGACCACAGUGCUAUAUGACUAGAAAUCAACAAGAAAAAAACUGCAAUAAACACAAACAGGUGGAGACUAAACAACAUGCUAUUAAACAACCAAUGGAUCACUGAAGAAAUCAAAGAGGAAAUUUAAAAAUACCUAGAAGCAAAUGGCAGCAAAGACACAAUAGUCCAAAACCUAUGGGACCAGAGUUCACAUUGUAGUGCAGUGGAAAUGAAUCCAACUAGGAACCAUAAGGUUGUGGAUUUGAUCCCUGGUCUUUCUCAGUGGGUUAAGGAUCUGGCAUUGCCAUGAGCUGUGGUGGCUUUGGCAUGGAUCACAGAUGCAGCUUGGAUCUGGUGUUGCUGUGGCUAUGGCAUAGGCUGGCAGCUGUUGUUCCAAUUCGACCCCUAGACUGGGAAUCUCCAUAUGCCUCAGGUGCGGCCCUAAAAAAGCAAACAAAAAUAAAAACAAAACCUACGGGAUGCAGCAAAAGCAGUUCUAAGAGGGAAGUUUAUAGCAGUACAGGCCUACCUCAGGAAACAAGAAAAGGGUCAAAUAAACAACGUAACUUUACAUCUAAAACAAAUAGAGAAGAACAGACAAGACCUAAAGUUAGGAGAAGGAAAGAAAUAAUAAAAUCAGAGCAGAAAUAAAUGAAAUAGAAACAAAGAAAACCAUAGAAAAGUUAAAUGAAGCCAAAAGCUUGUUCUUUGAAAAGAUCAACAAAAUUGACAAACUGUUAAGACAGACUCAUCAAGAAAAAAGAGGACUCAAAUCAAUGAGAUUAGAGGAGUCCCACUGUGGCUCAGUGCAAACAAAUUUGACUAGUAUCCACGAGGAUGCAGGUUUGAUCCCUGGCCUCGCUCAGCGGGUUUAGGAUACAGCCUUGUUGGGGGCUGUGGUGUAGGUUGUAGAUGUGGCUUGGAUCUGGCAUUGCUGUGACUGUGGUAUAGGCCAGUGGCUACAGCUCUGAUUUGACUCUAGCUUUGGAACCUCCAUAUGUUGCAGGUACAGCCCUAAAAAGACAAAAAAAAAAAAAAAAAUUAAAAACUAAAAAAAGAAAUGAAAAAGGAGAAGUUACAAUAGACAUCACAGAAACACAAAGGAUCAUAAGAGACUACUACAGGCAACUCUAUGCCAAUAAAAUGGACAACCUAGAAGAAAUAGACAAAUUCUUAGAAAAGUACAAUCUUCAAAGAGUCAACCAAGAUGAAAUAGAAAAAAUGGAUGGACCAAUCAUAAGUACUGAAGUUGAAAUGGUGAUUUAAAAAUUUUCAACAAACAAAAUUCCAGGACCAGAUGGCUUCACAGGUGAAUUCUAUCAAACAUUUAGACAAGAGCUAACACCUAUCCUUAUGAAACUAUUCCAAAAAAUUACAGAGGAAGGGACACUCCCAAACUCAUUCUAUGAGGUCACCAUCACCCUGAUACCAAAACCAGACAAAGAUAACACAAAAAAAGAAAAUCGCUGGCCAAUAUCAUUGAUGAACAAAGAUGCAAAAAUCCUCAACAAAAUACUAGCAAACCAAUCUACCAAUACAUUAAAAGGAUUGUAGGAGUUCCUGUCAUGGCUCAGUGGUCAAAGAAUCUGACUAGGAACCAUGAGGUUGCAGGUUUGAUCCCUGGCCUUGCUCAGUGGGUUAAGGAUCCAGUGUUGCUGUGAGCUGCGGUGUAGGUCAGAGACACGGUUUGGAUCCUGUGUUGCUGUGGCUCUGGUGUAGGCUGACAGCCACAGCUCCAAUUAGACCCCUAGCCUGGGA
rnacentral:lncRNA from 1 species